GGGGGGGGGGGGGGGUUGCUAGGAUGAAAAAUUUUGUCCUGCACAUUUUUUUAGUUGUAAUCUCUGUCCUGCCUUUUUAUUUUUCACUCUAUUCGGUCCUGCCUUUUUUUUAUUAGUUUAUCCUGACUUUUUUUACCUAAGUUGUCAUCCUGCCUUUUUUUUUUUUGCAAAGUGUCUCAUCCUGCCUUUUUUUUUUACUCAAAAC
rnacentral:lncRNA from 1 species